rnacentral:rRNA from 1 species
AAGGGCUCCGGCCUUUCCCCUGGUGGGGGGAAAGCUUCACAAGGGAAGGAGGUUACCCGCCUAGAAGGGAACCGCCCACCUGGGAUUGGACACGGCCCAGAUUCUUAGGGAGGCAGCAGGGGGAAUAUGCACAAUGGCCGGAAGCCUGAUGCAGGGACGCCGCUGAAGGAUGACGGCCUUCGGGUUGUAAACUUCUUUCAGUAGGGAAGAAGCGAGAGUGACGGUACCUGCAGAAGAAGCGCCGGCUAACUACGUGCCAGCAGCCGCGGUAAUACGUAGGGCGCAAGCGUUGUCCGGAAUUAUUGGGCGUAAAGAGCUCGUAGGCGGUUUGUCGCGUCUGCUGUGAAAGCCCGGGGCUCAACCCCGGGUCUGCAGUGGGUACGGGCAGACUAGAGUGCAGUAGGGGAGACUGGAAUUCCUGGUGUAGCGGUGAAAUGCGCAGAUAUCAGGAGGAACACCGAUGGCGAAGGCAGGUCUCUGGGCUGUUACUGACGCUGAGGAGCGAAAGCAUGGGGAGCGAACAGGAUUAGAUACCCUGGUAGUCCAUGCCGUAAACGUUGGGCACUAGGUGUGGGGGACAUUCCACGUUUUCCGCGCCGUAGCUAACGCAUUAAGUGCCCCGCCUGGGGAGUACGGCCGCAAGGCUAAAACUCAAAGGAAUUGACGGGGGCCCGCACAAGCGGCGGAGCAUGCGGAUUAAUUCGAUGCAACGCGAAGAACCUUACCAAGGCUUGACAUUCACCGGACCGCCCCAGAGAUGGGGUUUCCCUUCGGGGCUGGUGGACAGGUGGUGCAUGGUUGUCGUCAGCUCGUGUCGUGAGAUGUUGGGUUAAGUCCCGCAACGAGCGCAACCCUCGUUCUAUGUUGCCAGCACGUGAUGGUGGGGACUCAUAGGAGACUGCCGGGGUCAACUCGGAGGAAGGUGGGGAUGACGUCAAAUCAUCAUGCCCCUUAUGUCUUGGGCUUCACGCAUGCUACAAUGGCCGGUACAAAGGGUUGCGAUACUGUGAGGUGGAGCUAAUCCCAAAAAGCCGGUCUCAGUUCGGAUUGAGGUCUGCAACUCGACCUCAUGAAGUCGGAGUCGCUAGUAAUCGCAGAUCAGCAACGCUGCGGUGAAUACGUUCCCGGGCCUUGUACACACCGCCCGUCAAGUCACGAAAGUUGGUAAC